GCAGGGAGCCAACAAAGCAAAAAAGAGUGAGCCGGCAGCGCCAAAUCCAGCGCGGCCGGCAA
rnacentral:ncRNA from 1 species